AUGGCGUUCGCCGACGAGUAUAAGGCCAUGGAGGCCCACGGCAAUACCAAGUUGCAUGUCAUCCACACAAACGACAAGAAGCAGGUGGCGACCACCCUCGCGCAAACAAACACGAGAGAGCAGAGGAGAGUCAUGGCGGAUGCACCUCUUUACAAGCAGCACCACAGGUACACCAGUGAGCUCCACGAUGUCGACCUCCAUGACAACCACAAGCUCCACGUCAUUUGCACAAGCAAGGGUGAAGACGUGGACAAGAUGCUGUCCACGCUCAGGAGGAAGCUCGGCGGAAUGCCCGUCAAACUAGUCGGCAUUGAUGUUGAGUACACGCACUACGUGAAGCCACAGCGGGCAGCAGUGCUCCAGCUAUGCGUAGAAAAAGAAUGUCUUGUCUACCACAUGUGUGCAGCUAAAGGCAGGCCAAUGGAACUAGACAAAUUCCUCGUGGAUGGUGAGUACACCUUCAUCGGAUUCGCCAUUGAAGGGGACAAAAGCAAGCUGAAGCUAUCUGGUUUGGAGAUCAACUCCGACAACUACAUUGAUAUUCAGGUGGAAUGGAGAGGCCCAUACAAUAAAAAUAAGUUUGACACUUUAGCUGAUGUUGCCGGCAGGAUGAUAGACAUUCACUACCAUGACAUGAAGAAAAAAAUUAACCGCAAGGAGGACCAUACCCUGUGA
rnacentral:rRNA from 1 species